rnacentral:rRNA from 1 species
AUUGAACGCUGGCGGCAGGCCUAACACAUGCAAGUCGAACGAGUGGCGGACGGGUGAGUAAUGUCUGGGAAACUGCCUGAUGGAGGGGGAUAACUACUGGAAACGGUAGCUAAUACCGCAUACCAUCGGAUGUGCCCAGAUGGGAUUAUCUAGUAGGUGGGGUAAAGGCUCACCUAGGCGACGAUCCCUAGCUGGUCUGAGAGGAUGACCAGCCAGACUGGAACUGAGACACGGUGCAGACUCCUACGGGAGGCAGCAGUGGGGAAUAUUGCACAAUGGGCGCAAGCCUGAUGCAGCAAUGCCGCGUGUAUGAAGAAGGCCUUCGGGUUGUAAAGGACUUUCAGCGGGGAGGAGGUAAGCGAAGAAGAAGCACCGGCUAACUCCGUGCCAGCAGCCGCGGUAAUAG